GGCCCUGUGGUGUAACGGCUAGCAUCUCGCCGUCUCAAGGCGAAGACGCCGGUUCGAGUCCGGCCGGGGUUGCCA
rnacentral:tRNA from 1 species